UACGGAGGGUGCGAGCGUUGUCCGGAAUUACUGGGCGUAAAGGGCGCGUAGGCGGCCUGUUAAGUCGAACGUGAAAUCCCCGGGCUCAACCCGGGAACUGCGUCCGAUACUGGUAGGCUUGAAUCCGGGAGAGGGAUGCGGAAUUCCAGGUGUAGCGGUGAAAUGCGUAGAUAUCUGGAGGAACACCGGUGGCGAAGGCGGCAUCCUGGACCGGCAUCGACGCUGAGGCGCGAAAGCCAGGGGAGCAAACGGG
rnacentral:rRNA from 1 species